GCGGGCGACUGAAAGCAGCCAAGAUCACAAGCUACUGUUAGCUAACUUAUCGAAACGAGAGCAAACAGGUUGUUGAAGGUGGGAAGGAGAAAGUCUGAGAAUGGAUAGAAGAAACAAUGUGAGAGGACGAGUGCGUAUGCGAGGUGGGCGACGAGGAGGAAGAGGAGGGCAAGAAAGAGGAAGAGGAGGACGAAGAGGAAGACAAAGAGUGGAAAUAUCUGAUGAAAUUCGAGCAACAGUUAUAGACCAUGUUCUUGUCCAUGGACUGACAAUGAGGGAAGCAGGACUUAGAGUGCAACCCAAUUUGAGCCGAUUUUCUGUGUCCACCAUAGUAAGGACAUUCAGGGAAGAGAACAGGUACAGUAUGCUACUGUAUUUUUGUAAUUGCAAAUUUACUGUACUACACUAUAUGCAGCUGUUUCAAUAGACAUUUGUAAAGUUAAUCACUGUAUGUAUUGUACUGCAUGAAUAUGUUUUGUAACUGCACAACUACUUUUUGUAGAAUUGCAAGGCUGCCACAUGCAGGUGGAAGGACAGCUAUAUUCACUCGGGAGCAAGAGACCGUUAUAGUUGGCAUGGUCCUUCAAGAUAAUGCAAUACGACUCAGAGAUAUCCAGGAACGAGUGAUACAAGACAACACACACUUCCAGGGAAUCGACAGUGUGAGCAUUUCCACAAUUGGCCGUGUUCUCCAUCGUAACAGGAUGCAAAUGAAACAAGUAUACAGAGUACCUUUUGAGCGCAACUCACCAAGGGUGAAAGAACUGCGAGCUCAGUAUGUGCAAGUAAGUGUACAUUCAGAAACAUUUACUGUAAUCCAGAUUGUCUACAGUACUAACACAUACUAUGUGAAUGACAUUACUCUUCAGUACAUACAAUGUAUGUGAAUCAGAAGUGCAUACAGUAGGCCUAAUUGUACUCUACAGUAUAGCACUGUCUCUGUAUGUCUUACAAAAUCCUACAUACAGUAUAUUGUAUUUCUACACAGACAAUAUUUGACUUGGAAUCCUUGGACAGACCCUAUGAGUUCAUCUUUGUCGAUGAAGCAGGCUUCAAUCUAACAAAGA
rnacentral:lncRNA from 1 species